rnacentral:rRNA from 1 species
AAUCGUAGAUCAGCAUGCUACGGUGAAUACGUUCCCGGGUCUUGUACACACCGCCCGUCACACCACGAGAGUUUGUAACACCCGAAGCCGGUGGAGUAACCUUUUAGGAGCUAGCCGUCGAAGGUGGGACAAAUGAUUGGGGUGAAGUCGUAACAAGGUAGCCGUAUCGGAAGGUGCGGCUGGAUCACCUCCUUU